UUUUAGAGCCAAGACAACAUAACUCUGGAUUAGAUCAGGGUGUUCUGAUGAAAAGGCAUAGAGUCCCCAGAGGAACUAGGUCGGGGGCAGAUGGAGAAUAUUGGCAUUGGACCCAGCUUAACCUAGGAGUUAAGCUGAACCUAUAUGGACGGGAUGUAACCCUAAUUGAUUGUGAUGAGUUUACUAGAAGUUACCUGGCUAGUGAAGGAAUA